AUUGAACGCUGGCGGCAGGCCUAACACAUGCAAGUCGAGCGGAUGAAGGGAGCUUGCUCCUGGAUUCAGCGGCGGACGGGUGAGUAAUGCCUAGGAAUCUGCCUGGUAGUGGGGGAUAACGUCCGGAAACGGGCGCUAAUACCGCAUACGUCCUGAGGGAGAAAGUGGGGGAUCUUCGGACCUCACGCUAUCAGAUGAGCCUAGGUCGGAUUAGCUAGUUGGUGGGGUAAAGGCCUACCAAGGCGACGAUCCGUAACUGGUCUGAGAGGAUGAUCAGUCACACUGGAACUGAGAAACGGUCCAGACUCCUACGGGAGGCCGCAGUGGGGAAUAUUGGACGAUGGGGGAGAGCCUGAUCCAGCCAUGCCGCGUGUGUGAAGAAGGUCUUCGGAUUGUAAAGCGCUUUAAGUUGGGAGGAAGGGCAGUAAGUUAAUACCUUGCUGUUUUGACGUUACCAACAGAAUAAGCACCGGCUAACUUCGUG
rnacentral:rRNA from 1 species